rnacentral:rRNA from 1 species
GACGAACGCUGGCGGCGUGCUUAACACAUGCAAGUCGAGCGGUAAGGCCCUUUCGGGGGUACGACGAGCGGCGAACGGGUGAGUAACACGUGGGUGACCUGCCUUUAGCUCUGGGAUAAGCCUGGGAAACCGGGUCUAAUACCGGAUAUGACUCCGCGGCGCAUGUUGUGGGGUGGAAAGCCUUGUGCGGCUGGAGAUGGGCCCGCGGCCUAUCAGCUUGUUGGUGGGGUGAUGGCCUACCAAGGCGACGACGGGUAGCCGGCCUGAGAGGGCGACCGGCCACACUGGGACUGAGACACGGCCCAGACUCCUACGGGAGGCAGCAGUGGGGAAUCUUGCGCAAUGGGCGAAAGCCUGACGCAGCGACGCCGCGUGA